GGAAGUAAAAGGUAACAAGGUCUCCGUUGGUGAACCAGCGGAGGGAUCAUUACCAGAGUUUUACAACUCCCAACCCUUCUGUGAACCUACCUAUCGUUGCUUCGGCGGACUCGCCCCAGCGUCCGGACGGCCCCGCGCCGGCCCGCGACCUGGACCCAGGCGGCCGCCGGAGACCACACAAUCCUGUAUCCAUCAGUCUCUCUGAAUCCGCCGCAAGGCAAAACAAACGAAUCAAAACUUUCAACGAUGGAUCUCUUGGUUCUG
rnacentral:misc_RNA from 1 species